AGGCAUGUAGCUCAGUUGGUUAGAGCACCACCUUGACAUGGUGGGGGUCGUUGGUUCGAAUCCGAUCAUGCCUACCA
rnacentral:tRNA from 2 species